AAGUAACCAAAAUUUAAAAUACUACUAAAAUAAAUAAAUAAAUCAAAAUACUAUUAAAAGUUUGUUUAAAUUACCACAUGUUGAAUAAAUUAUAAUUUUAUCAAUAGAUACUAAUAUGCGGGCUGAUCCGCCAACCCGCGGAUGAAAACCGAUUAAAUCUAUGACCCACUGCGAAUUAAUCCAUGUGGCCCGCUUAUUUGCGGGUUUAAUAUAUUUUCCCAAAUCUGCCCUAUAGUGAGAUGAUGUGGGCUCGACCCGCGGUUUUUGACCUAUUUUGACUGCUCUAAUUCCCAUGAAUCGU
rnacentral:lncRNA from 1 species